CAUGCAGUCACUUGUAAAUUUUAUGAAAAUGACCUUUCACAACACUUCGCACUUGACGAAAUGAAUAUUAUUAUGGGUUGGAAUUUUCCCGCUUCUAGAAACAAAUUUUGUAAUAUUUUCUUGUGUUUAUUGAAAAAAGUAUGUCCAUAUUCCUGUAUUGUCCAUUACAGUAUGUAUCUUGUUAAUUAUCUUACUUCGAGUUAAUAAGGAGUAGACUUGUUAUAUUCUAUAAACGGGUGUUGAGGUAGAAUAUAACCCACAGUCUCAGAUGAGUCAUGACAGUCUUUAGGUAUUGUACUUCUUGUUUUCCUUUUACAGAAACGAUGAUAAUGUGAAAUAUUUGCAGUGUGAUUACUGUUACAUUUGUGUCUGCACCAUCCACAGUCCAAGAGAAUUUUUGUUCUGCAUGAGUGAAAAAAUCCUUAAAACUCUACUUGAUUAUGACGGCAGAUGGCGUCUAGGAGUUAAGGAGUACCUUGCACUGAACCAACCAUAUAUCGCUUACUACUAAGUAUUGUACAUCUUUUCCCAUUAAGAGUUGUCGGGAUAUAUGUGGUAGAAUGUACAAUUGUUGAUGAAUCCAAAAGACACGUGUCGGCGGGUGUGACACUCAACCUCUUUAUUGUAAAGUUCUAAUGUAGGAGGUAGGAUCUGAAACACGAGGCAUGUUUGCAUAUGCUCACAUUGAGAGAGAAGGGGGUGGAGGAAGUACUCCAACUACAAGAUAAACCACUAAAAGUCACACAAUGCACUGUUCUAUCCAUUGUCACAACAAUGAUUUACUCUUCUGACUAGGUAUCAAAUAAGAUUUCACAGUGGACACUCAAAUUCACAAAUUUUUAGAGUGUUCUUCAAUGACUUGAGUGCUCUUCCUCUCUUCUCCCAUCUCUCUCACUCUAAUUGUAAGGGUAAGAAAAUUAUAUCUUGUGUUUCUGACGCUAUCUUUAUAUAAAAAAAACAUUAAAAAAUUAAUGCAACACAUAAAUAAUUAUCUGUUAUUUUGUAAAGUUUUGCUACAAAAAUAAAUUAUCUUCAUACAUUUUCCUUUUUUUUCAAAAUAUGAGAAAAACAUAUAGUGUGUAGGUUUUUAGUCUUCAAAAAUAGUGUCUGAAACAAGAGACUACAUAGUGUGUUUGCCCAAAAUUGUGAUGAGAGAGAGAUGUGCAGCAGCCAUGCAAGAAUAUUCAUCAUGUCUCGAAGGUGUAUAAUUUCUAAAAUACCAUAAUUCAUUUCCAGGAACAGAGGAGAGGUUCUCCUGUCCUCGUUGCCACAAAAGUUACAACAAGCGUGGCAACCUGUCCAGGCAUGUCAGGCUGGAGUGUGGGGAUACACGGUCAUAUAAGUGCCCUGUCGAGGGUUGUCCUUACGUUGGUAAACGCAAAUACUACAUGCUCGAACACAUCAGUAAACGACACCCAACAGCUCUGGCGACUGCGAUGGAAGAGAACUACUCAGAGGAGAGGAGCUACGUGGAGGUGAAGAUUUCCGCCACACGCGAGUGUGCCGAGUAUAUGUAGAGAGAUCAGUUUACUGGUGGGUCUCGCUGCUAUAGUGUGGAAGUUGAUGUUAAGAACGGUAAAAGAGAUGUGAAGAUAGUUUUAUAUUGUUCUUUCAAGACCAGAAAUGUAAUGUUAUCAAAACACCAAUGUUAUUUCAAUGUUUACACUUAAUGUCUCUUUCAGUAGAGUUGCAUUGUUUGUUUAAAUUUCACACUGUAAACAUACUGUUUUAAUCUGUCCCCUGGACACGAAAUUGUUUUAACUUUAAAAAAAUUACACUAGUCAAUACUCAAAAUCAACUAACCAAACAUUUUUAUGUUAGUAAGCUUAAAAAAAUGCAAUAAACAUUGAAAAUGUUUGUCUUUUUUAUGUUUUACAAUCAGUAUUAAUGUUGUUUCUUAACCGUUUAUACAGAAUUUAGGAUAUUUGUCUUUGUUAAAUGUUACAAAAAACUGGAACCUACAUUUCGAGAACUGUUAUUUUCCCUCUUCUUCAGGUGUCAAAAGUUAAAAUAUAGUGUUAAAUAUGAGCAUGGCAACACAAAAGUUGCACAUUAAAUUUUGUAGAUAAAACAGACAUAUUUGAUUUUAUGAGAACAAAAUUUCUGAUUGUCAAAUAUGAUACCAGUUCUGAAAGCAUACUGUCACAUUUAUUGCAACAAAUAAUGUUAUUAUCAUCAAUAAUAAGCUUUAAUCAUCAAAGUGCUGUAGUUGCACUCUUAUAUCUUUUCAUUUUAUCAUGUUACAAACAAAUGCUUUAUUCAAUAUUUGCAAUCUUUGUAAAGUAAAAAGUAGGAAAGAUUCCUCUAUGCACUGACAGAACUAAAAGUACUAAUUCAGAAGAUUAUAAGUUUGAGAAAUACAAGUCAGCUAAAUCAAUCAAAUGGCUUGAAUAAGCUGACUGUCAAAUUUUACAUUUUAAAAAACAAUAUUAUACCUCAUCAUUAGAACAUUUUUUUACUCUGCCAGCCAGAAUGAUAAUAUUUCUAAAGAAGAAUGGUAAGUAUUUUGUUAUUUCCUUCACCUUAUAGAGCAUAUGCUUCUAUAAAAAUUAUGUGUAAUACAUGGUACUUAAACGCAUUUUUGUAUUUAAAACUAUUUUUUUAACAUGUCAUAUGCUUGGCAAUGGACCAGCACUUCAAAGUGAUACAAACAGCACUUGGAGGGUGUAAAACUCAAUUGAUUAACUGUUUUUAUAGGAAAACUCUUGAUUUACUUCCAAAAGUGUAUAUAUAUAUAUAUCAAAGAAUAAUUGAUAUAUAUAUUAUCCAACUUGGUUUAUUUGGAUGAAUCGUGCACUUUUGUCUUUAACUACAUUGUUGGGCAUUUUAUAUUAGACACUGGAACAUUCUGUUCUAAUUUCCUGUAAUUGUAAGUUAUCAGUUCACUGACAUGUAAACCAUUAUGUAUAAAACAAGUAUAUCCUUAUUUUUGUGACAUUGUGUAUUUUACUAUGCUUCGAAUUCAACUUGCCACAUGAAGGAUGUUAAUUUUAAGUUACAUUUUGCUAUGGAAAAACACCUGAUGCACGUGUUUCUGUGAUAUAAUGUACAGCAUAUAUUUAUGUAUUGCUAUAAGAAUUAUUUAUGUAGCUAAUUAAUAAAACACUCCAUUACUGCACUAAUAGUAUUAAUUUGCUAAGCAAACUGAAAUUCCUUUAAAGUAAGUUUUUGCUAGUCAAGACAAAUAUUAAUAUUGUAAAACAUAUCACUCCUUGUGAAUUGCCAAUAGUUGAUCUCUUAGUUAUAUAUUUUUUAUUUAAAAUAUUUAUUCAUAAAUUUAAAUAUAGAUCACAUUAUGUUUAAUGUAAUCAAGACCUGUAUUUUUGCAUUAUUUAUUUGUUUGGAAAUAAAUUAUUAUUUAUUACAA